rnacentral:rRNA from 1 species
AACGAGCGCUGGCGGCGUGUUUAAGACAUGCAAGUCGCACGGUGUCAUUUUGGUAGCAAUACUUGAAUGGCAUAGUGGCGCACGGGUGAGUAACACGUGAAUGACAUGCCCUUGAGAGGGGGAUAGCCCAGGGAAACUUGGAUUAAUACCCCAUGGUCUCGCAAGAGUAAAGGCGGCGCAAGCUGUCGCUCGGGGAUUGGUUCGCGGCCUAUCAGCUAGUUGGCGGGGUAACGGCCCACCAAGGCGACGACGGGUACCUGGGCUGCGAGGACGAGCAGGCACAGUGGAACUGAGACACGGGCCAGACGCCGACGGGUGGCAGCAGGCGAGAAUAAUUCACAAUGGGGGCAACCCUGAUGGUGCAACGCCGCGUGGAGGAUGAAGGUCUUCGGAUUGUAAACUCCUGUCAUCCGGGAGUAAGACCUGGCCGUUAACAGCGGACAGGGUUGAUAGUACCGGAAGAGGAAGGGACGGCUAACUUCGUGCCAGCAGCCGCCGUAA